UGACGUGAACGCAGCAACCUUGAAUUAUAGGGAGGUGCACUUAAGUUUCACCCCUGCUAUGUUCCCCUGACGUGAACGCAGCAACCUUGAAUUAUAGGGAGGUGCACUUAAGUUUCACCCCUGCUAUGUUCCCCUGACGUGAACGCAGCAACCUUGAAUUAUAGGGAGGUGCACUUAAGUUUCACCCCUGCUAUGUUCCCCUGACGUGAACGCAGCAACCUUGAAUUAUAGGGAGGUGCACUUAAGUUUCACCCCUGCUAUGUUCCCCUGACGUGAACGCAGCAACCUUGAAUUAUAGGGAGGUGCACUUAAGUUUCACCCCUGCUAUGUUCCCCUGACGUGAACGCAGCAACCUUGAAUUAUAGGGAGGUGCACUUAAGUUUCACCCCUGCUAUGUUCCCCUGACGUGAACGCAGC